rnacentral:rRNA from 1 species
GCCACUUGCUCCCUUAGUACGGCGAGUGAACCCGGGAGAGCUCAAAUUUGAAAUCUGGCGUGCUCUGUGCUCCGAGUUGUAAUCUCCAGAGUCGUUUUCCGUGCCGGACUGUGUCCAAGUCCCUUGGAACAGGGUAUCAAGCAGGGUGAUAAUCCCGUACUUGACACAAUGACCGGUGCUCUGUGAUACGUCUUCUACGAGUCGAGUUGUUUGGGAAUGCAGCUCAAAAUGGGUGGUGAGUUCCAUCUAAAGCUAAAUAUUGGCGAGAGACCGAUAGCGAACAAGUACCGUGAGGGAAAGAUGAAAAGCACUUUGGAAAGAGAGUUAAACAGUACGUGAAAUUGUUAAAAGGGAAACGAUUGAAGUCAGUCGUGACUGAGAGGCUCAGCCGGUUCUGCCGGUGUAUUCCCCUCAGUCGGGUCAACAUCAGUUUUGUUCGGUGGAUAAGGGCAGUUGGAAGGUGGCACCCUCGGGUGUGUUAUAGCCAGCUGUCGCAUACAUCGGAUGAGACUGAGGAAUGCAGCUCGCCUUUAUGGCCGGGGUUCGCCCACGUUCGAGCUUAGGAUGUUGACAUAAUGGCUUUAAACGACCCGUCUUGAAACACGGACCACACC